UACAGAGGUCUCGAGCGUUAGGCGGAAUCACUGGGCUUAAAGCGUGUGUAGGCGGAUCGGUAAGUACCUUGUGAAAUCCCACAGCUUAACUGUGGAACUGCUUGGUAUACUGCCAGUCUUGAGCCAGCUAGGGGCUACCGGAACAAAUGGUGGAGCGGUGAAAUGCGUAGAUAUCAUUUGGAACGCCAAAGGUGAAAACAGGUAGCUGGGGCUGUGCUGACGCUGAGACACGAAAGCCAGGGGAGCAAACGGG
rnacentral:rRNA from 1 species